CCAAAGAUGCGUCCCUGCUGGCCUUGAAGACCAGCUUGAUUUAAGGAGUUUUUAACUCUACUUAACUUUAGAAUCGUUUUGGAGUCACAGAAAAGUUGCAGAGGUGAUAAGAGUUCUGUGGACCCAACACCCAGCUUCCCCCUAUUACCAUCAUCUCACACUGCGCACAGCUAAUGAACGGUCCACGUGGGCAAACGGAUCACAAAGGUCAGGACAAAGGUCAGGAUCCUCUGGUGUACAAGGAACCAAAAAUAACGUCCCCAGCGCAAGGC
rnacentral:lncRNA from 1 species